rnacentral:rRNA from 1 species
GGCCGACUAGCUAGCCUACCACAUCAAACACAACAAACCAACAUUUAUAAACCCAAAUCCACUUGAUACCACUCAAAUAAAACAUUUUCUUCCCUAGUAUGGGAGACAGAAAAGAAACUCAAGAGCAAUAGAAAAAGUACCGCAAGGGAAAGCUGAAAAAGAAAUGAAACAACCCAGUAAAGCCUUAAAAAGCAAAGAUUAAACCUUGUACCUUUUGCAUCAUGAUCUAGCCAGCAUCGCCAAGCAAAAAGAAUUUUAGUUUGACACCCCGAAACCGAGCGAGCUACUCCAGGCCAGCCUAUAUAAAUAGGGCGAACCCAUCUCUGUGGCAAAAGAGUGGGAAGAGCCUCGAGUAGAGGUGAAAGACCUACCGAGCCCGGCUAUAGCUGGUUGCCUGAGAACUGAAUAGAAGUUCAGCCUCCCGGAUUCUUCCCUCAAGGACAUUUAAUUAAUAUAUACCGACCUCAAGAAACCCGAGAGAGUUAGUCAAAAGGGGGAUAGCCCUUUUGACACAAGAUACAACUUUACUAGGAGGGAACUGAUCAUAAUUUAUUAAGGGAUAAUAAUCCAAGUGGGCCUAAAAGCAGCCAUCUUAAUAGAAAGCGUCUAAGCUCAAACACUCCUUUAACCCCUCAAAUUCAGACAAUAACUCACAGCCCCCUAAAAAUAUCAGGCCCUCUCGUGCCCACACAAGAGAGACCAUGCUACUACGAGUAAUAAGAGAAAGACCUUCUCUCCUAGCACAUGUGUAAAUCGGACUGGACCCCCCACCGAAACUUAACGGCCCCAAAUAAAGAGGGUAGUAAAAGAAUAUCAACAAACUAGAAAACCACUUAAAACCUUUACCGUUAACCCCACACUGGCGUGCCCCCAAGGAAAGACUAAAAGAAAAAGAAGGAACUCGGCAAACCAAAGCCUCGCCUGUUUACCAAAAACAUCGCCUCUUGCUAAAAUCAAAGAAUAAGAGGUCCCGCCUGCCCACUGAUCCCAGAUUCAACGGCCGCGGUAUUUUGACCGUGCUAAGGUAGCGUAAUCACUUGUCUUUUAAAUGAAGACCCGUAUGAAAGGCUUAACGAGGGCUUAACUGUCUCCUUUUUCCAGUCAAUGAAACUGAUCUCCCCGUGCAGACGCGGGGAUUAAAACAUAAGACGAGAAGACCCUAUGGAGCUUUAGACACCAAGGCAGCCUAUUUUAAAUAACCCUAAACAAGCAACAAAUCUAUUAGUAAACCUGCCUCAGUCUUAGGUUGGGGCGACCCUGGGGAAAUACAAAACCCCCAUGUGGAGAGGGGGGACCUACUACGCAACCCCUAAAAACUCGAAACACAAUUCUAAUCAACAGAACCUCUGACCAAAUUGAUCCGGCCCAAGCCGAUUAACGAAACAAGUUACCCUAGGGAUAACAGCGCUAUCCCCUUUUAAAGUCCAUAUAGACAAGGGGGCUUACGACCUCGAUGUUGGAUCAGGACAUCCUAAUGGUGCAGCCGCUAUUAAGGGUUCGUUUGUUCAACGAUUAAAGUCCUACGUGAUCUGAGUUCAGACCGGAGUAAUCCAGGUCAGUUUCUAUCUAUGAAUGUGAUCUUUUCUAGUACGAAAGGACCGAAAAGAAGGAGUCCAUGCUCUAAAGUACACUCCACCCCCACCUGAUGAUACCGUAUAAACCAGACAACGGGGACAACAACAAAGCAGCUGAAAACAACAGCAUU